rnacentral:rRNA from 1 species
CUACGGGAGGCACCAGUGAGGAAUAUUGGACAAUGGUCGAGAGACUGAUCCAGCCAUGCCGCGUGCAGGAAGACGGCCCUAUGGGUUGUAAACUGCUUUUAUACGGGAAGAAUAAUGCCCACGUGUGGGCAGAUGACGGUACCGUAUGAAUAAGGACCGGCUAACUCCGUGCCAGCAGCCGCGGUAAUACGGAGGGUCCGAGCGUUAUCCGGAAUCAUUGGGUUUAAAGGGUCCGCAGGCGGGCCAAUAAGUCAGGGGUGAAAGUUUGCAGCUCAACUGUAAAAUUGCCUUUGAUACUGUUGGUCUUGAGUUACGGUGAAGUGGCCGGAAUAUGUGGUGUAGCGGUGAUAUGCAUAGAUAUCACAUAGAACACCGAUUGCGAAGGCAGGUCACUAACCGCCAACUGACGCUGAUGGACGAAAGCGUGGGGAGCGAACGGGAUUAGAUACCCGGGUAGUC